rfam:Oryza glumipatula chromosome 10, whole genome shotgun sequence.
AAAAAAACAAACUCUGGAUCUUCGUGUCCAAUUUUAACGGUCCAUCUUAUAUAAAAUUUUUUUAUAAUUCGUAUUUUUAUUGUUGUUAGAUGAUAAAACAUGAUUAAUAUUUUAUGCACGACUUGUCUUUUUAAUUUUUUUCAUAAUUUUUUCAAAUAAGACGGACGGUUAAACGUUGAAUAAGAAAAAUAUGGUUUAUCUUUCU